CCAGGUUGAUUCUGCCUGACGUAGACGCUAUUCCCUAAGAUUAACCCAUGCAUGUUUUUGAAGAUUAUUAUCUGAAAAAUGGACUGCUCAGUAAUACUCACUUUAUUUUAUGUGCACCGCAGAUAACUACGUUAAAGUGUAGAUAACAUGUGUACAGUAAGAGUGAGACCUAUCAGCUAGUUGUUAGGGUAAUGGCUUAACAAGGCAGUGACGGGUAACGGUAUUACUUUGUAAUAUUCCGGAGAAGGAGCCUGAGAGACGGCUACUAAGUCUAAGGAUUGCAGCAGGGGCGAAACUUGACCUAUGGAUUUUAUCUGAGGCAGUUAUGGGAAGUAAUAUAUUAUUGUUUCAUAUUUUAAAAAUAUAUGAGGUGAUUAAUUGGAGGGCAAAUCAAGUGCCAGCAGCCGCGGUAAUACUUGUUCCAAGAGUGUGUAUGAUGAUUGAUGCAGUUAAAAAGUCCGUAGUUUAUUUUUAAGAAGCAAUAUGAGGUGUACUGUAUAGUUGGGAGAGAGAUGAAAUGUGACGACCCUGACUGGACGAACA
rnacentral:rRNA from 1 species